rnacentral:rRNA from 1 species
UACGUAGGGUGCAAGCGUUAAUCGGAAUUACUGGGCGUAAAGCGUGCGCAGGCGGUUAUGUAAGACAGUUGUGAAAUCCCCGGGCUCAACCUGGGAACUGCAUCUGUGACUGCAUAGCUAGAGUACGGUAGAGGGGGAUGGAAUUCCGCGUGUAGCAGUGAAAUGCGUAGAGAUGCGGAGGAACACCGAUGGCAAAGGCAGCCCCCUGGGUCAAGAUUGACGCUCAUGCACGAAAGCGUGGGGAGCAAACAGG